UUUAUGGAGAGUUUGAUCCUGGCUCAGGACGAACGCUGGCGGCGUGCCUAAUACAUGCAAGUCGAGCGGAGUCUUACACUUUCUUCGGAAAGUGUUUGGCUUAGCGGCGGACGGGUGAGUAACACGUAGGUAACCUGCCCAUAAGACUGGGAUAACCCACGGAAACGUGAGCUAAUACCAGAUAGGCAUCUUCUUCGCAUGAAGGAGAUGAGAAAGACGGUUUCGGCUGUCACUUAUGGAUGGACCUGCGGCGCAUUAGCUAGUUGGUGAGGUAACGGCUCACCAAGGCGACGAUGCGUAGCCGACCUGAGAGGGUGAUCGGCCACACUGGGACUGAGACACGGCCCAGACUCCUACGG
rnacentral:rRNA from 1 species